rnacentral:RNase_P_RNA from 1 species
AAUGCAGGUUGUUCUAUCGCUGUUUCGAAUAAAACCGAAAGAGAGGAAAGUCCGGGCAACGCAGGGCAUCCCGCUUUCUAACGGAAAGGGGUUCAGGAAUGAAAACCUGAACCACGGAUUAGUGCAACAGAAAAUAUACCGUCCCGAUUUUAUAUCGGGAUAAGGGUGAAAACGUGCGGUAAGAGCGCACGAGCAUUGCAGGCGACUGCAGUGGUUUGUAAACCCCGGGAGUUGAAAGACCAAAUAGGCUAACAUCCAGAUUUCAUGUCUGGAUAAAGGGCUGCCCGUCCGAUGUUAGUGGGUAGGUCGUUAGAGAUAAACGGCAACGUUUAUAGUAGAUAAAUGAUAGAAAUCCUGAGCAAUCAGGAAACAGAACCCGGCUUAUAGACCUGCAUUUUUU